rnacentral:snoRNA from 12 species
CUGGAUACUGACAACCGCGGCUGGUAACAAAAAAAUCGCCUUGUCGUCUCAUGCCUACGAUGGGCUAAAGAAGCACUGUGGCGAAACAUGCACUGGGUGGCCAUUGCGUCUGCGGUAGACCCGCCGAUUCCACAGCCCAGAAACAUC